rnacentral:rRNA from 1 species
GGUGAACGCUGGCGGCGUGCUUAAGACAUGCAAGUCGAACGGCAGUCUUCGGACUGUAGUGGCGCACGGGUGAGUAACGCGUAACUGACCUACCCCAAAGUCGCGGAUAACGAUUCGAAAGAAUCGCUAAUACGUGAUGUGCUGUCAGAUUGUGUUCUGCCAGUAAAGAUUGAUUGCUUUGGGAUGGGGUUGCGUUCCAUCAGCUAGUUGGUGGGGUAAAGGCCCACCAAGGCGACGACGGAUAGCCGGCCUGAGAGGGUGGCCGGCCACAGGGGCACUGAGACACGGGUCCCACUCCUACGGGAGGCAGCAGUUAGGAAUCUUCCACAAUGGGCGAAAGCCUGAUGGAGCGACGCCGCGUGAGGGAUGAGGGUCUUCGGAUCGUAAACCUCUGAAUCAGGGACGAAAGACACUUCGGUGGGAUGACGGUACCUGAGUAAUAACACCGGCUAACUCCGUGCCAGCCGCCGCAGUAAGAC